UUAAAAUUAGUUAAACUAUAACAUAAGCUUGUCAAGCUUAAAUUAUUAUAAUAUAAUAUUUUAAA
rnacentral:tRNA from 1 species